AUCUGAAAAGGGAAGGGUAAAAAGAGAGAAAAAUGUCUUACUACUCACAUUGGAAAAUAACACGCAUUACCCACAGCUAGGGAAGUCAGGCAGUCACAGAAAAUCACUCCUUGGAAUCAAUCACACUGCAAAGUUUGUGCCAAAGAAAACUACUGCUUUUAUGGAGUUUUCUAAAUCGUUGCUUCCACAACUGUCUGCUCACAAUUGAAGCUACAAAGAAAUCAGGAGGCGGCUUCAUCACAAAGACAAAUUUCUGAUGGUUUACUGGAAGCGGCAUUUUGUAAGAUUUUUACACAAAUAAAUACUAACAUCCUGGCACUAAAGCUUUUCUUAUUAAAAACAAUUGUCAUCUGACAGGAUUUUUUACUGCCAAAUAUGAUGUCGCCUUCCCUGAAGUGCUGUUCUAAGCAUUAAGGUAGCAGCCUACUGUGGUAGAGACCCUAAAAGGAACAACACCAAUCGUGCACAAACAACAACAGCAAAAUGAACUGGACAACGAAAGAGCUCGGCCUCUGUACUCUAGUCCAGUUAUUUGCAGCUUCUGACGCUCAGGCUUACAAAGGUCCACGCAGUGCUUCUAAAGGAGUCACUGAGAUCACAAAGAAAACCAAAGCGAGGCAUCCUAGCCUUUGACUGAAGGCAACGGUAGUUGCAAUUCACCUUUCUGUAGAGCAUAUACCUGCUUUUUGCCAACUGCAUUCUAGUCUACACCCCAUUUACUUCAUCUUCAUCGCCUCAAAGACAGCCCGACCCAAACAACUAGAUUAAAUACAGUCACUUAAGCUUAAGUAAGAUGCCCUCACCUACCCAGCUGAGAGAGAAUUCUGGUUCUAUGCCCUUACAGAAUGCUGUAUAGGUGGGAGACUCAUGGAAAAAACAACAUUAAUUUGAAAUAUGACAAAUUCAAGAGAAAGAAAGGAGGGAGGCCCGGCUUAUAGUAAGACGACGUGAUGCUCAGGGAUCACUACAUCUAAUCUUCCCCAUUGUUUGAUCCAAUCUAACACAGAAAGGCAGCUGGUUUCCACAGGCAGCUGUAGAAGCUGAGGUUAUGCUUCUCUCUCCACCUCACUCAGACAGCAGAAGUUGGUCACGCUUAGGGAAGCAAAGAUCCACCCGUAAGUUUAUUGGUACAAAAGAGGAAAAUCAAUUAAAGCUUUACGUAUCUUUCAAAUUAAACUUUACUCAUUGCUUCUCCUACAUUCCAUCUGCAGGCAGCUUUCCAACUCAAAACGUGCCCUCUCAAAUGAGACAUUUUCCCAACAGUGAAAGUUUUACACUUCAGAAGUUUAUUUUCUCAUCUUACCAGAAGAACUGGAACAGACUAUUCCAUUUCUGACACCCUUGCCUAAUCAUCUGCUGUACUGAAAAACACAGAUAAUGAUCAAUUUUAGAGAUGCGCCCUGAUGAAUUAACAUCAAGUUUCUUGUUUCAUUAUUAUUUAAAUAUCACCCAUCAUCAAGGAAGGAAAGACACGUUUUAUAGUAGCUCUUUAAGACAUGGCAUUUGAAAAUCUGGCUUAACAGAGUAAUUCCAACUAAUAAAAACUGAACACGGAAUCACUCUGUCGUGCUUGUCAGAAACACAAGCAGCACUUAAAUACGUCAAAGCAGUGAUCACCUCCUGCCUUCUGACUCCUCUUUGUGGAUCCAAGAAGGGCUGCUUUAUGAGCAAGGACUCCCUAAGCAUCUCUCUCUCUCUCUCAAUAGAAACAGAAAGCUAUAAAGCAUGUCUUCUUUCACAAGCUGGGAAAAAAAGUAAGAGAAAAAAACCCAAACACAGCCACCUGUGAAUAGCUCAGAGGCGUAGAAAACGAUUUUUGGACUCCUGUCUUUGAAUUUAAUUUGCAUCCUUUGCUCUUCUUAUGUAGGUCACUGAAGAGUGAUGUCACUGUUCUCAUCGAUUUUCAGUGCUAAGCUGAAACAUAACCUCCUGGAAGACCAGGCAUCGGAAAAGCGCCUUCCCCAGUUCUCCACCUCCCUCACCCAGAACCGGUGUAUUCAACAGGCAGCGUUCCAAGGGCAGCAGGGCCAGCUGUGGCAGCUUACAUCACAAAAGGGCACAAUAUCCCACACGAAGCAUCUCGGCACUGCGGAUCGGGCUACUUCUUGGUCACUGCUCUGCACCAGCCUGAGCUGCUGACAGCGCCAGGCAAUAAGACGGCGCUGACAGGAAGAUCUCUGUUUUGUUACAGACAGUAACAGACGAGAAUGCAGAAUGUCAGCUAGGAGCUGAAGAAGCAUUAUUCAAUCGCUGUAUAAAGGAAAGGAGGAACAAAGGCUCUCAUUCGUAUUUCCUUUUCGGUUAGAAAGGCCGUGGGGUAAAGAAAGCACAUGAGAAGAGGUCCAGGGGUGUGACAGGCCGCCCACAACGUCUCUAACCAGUAAGAAGGUGGAGAAAACCACCAGCUUUCAGCUGACUGUCAGCUGUAAUUACCCGGUGAUGCUACGGCCCCGUGAUUGCUGCUGGUCCCUCUUAAUACACGGCUACGAAAAUCUGCUCACGGAAACAAACCGUCAAGCAGAAGUAAGAGGGAGUUUUGCUUAAAACGACAUUCCUGCCAGCAACCACAGAGCGUUCGGAGCAACCAGUGGGUCAACCUGCAAAUGGCACUGCCGGCCUUUCCGCGCCCAUCAGGCAGACCGGGCUCCGUAAGCGCGACCCUGGAAGCAGAGCGCAGAAUCACAGAGUCGUUACGGCUGGGAAGAUCCCUACGCUCACCCAGUCCAACUGCCCGCUCGGCCGCGUCCCUCAGUGCCACAUCCGCACGGUCCCUGAGCACCUCCCGGGACGGCUACCGAACGCGGCUGCAGCGCACCGCUCCCGCGCGACGCUCCGCUCCCCGACGGGACGCGCUUCGCUACUGCCGGCGGCGGCCCGCCCUGCAGCACGGCGCCACGCCGAGCCGGGGAGCCGCGCUCUGCCCCGCUACCUUGAUGCGCUCCCCGUCGAUGGUGACGGCGCGCUCGCGGAAGUCCACGCCGAUGGUGGCCUCGGUGCGCUGCGGGAAGCGGCCGGCGCAGAAGCGGUAGGUGAGGCACGUCUUGCCCACGUUGGAGUCGCCGAUGACGAUGAUCUUGAAGAUGCGGGAG